rnacentral:rRNA from 1 species
CGGACGGGUGAGUAACGCGUGGGUAACCUGCCUCAUACAGGGGGAUAACAGUUAGAAAUGACUGCUAAUACCGCAUAAGCGCACGGUCUCGCAUGGGACGGUGUGAAAAACUCCGGUGGUAUGAGAUGGACCCGCGUCUGAUUAGCUGGUUGGUGAGGUAAGGGCUCACCAAGGCGACGAUCAGUAGCCGGCCUGAGAGGGUGAACGGCCACAUUGGGACUGAGACACGGCCCAAACUCCUACGGGAGGCAGCAG